AGUGAACGCUGGCGGCAGGCCUAAUACAUGCAAGUCGAACGGCAGCACAGCAGAGCUUGGCUCUGUGGGUGGCGAGUGGCGGACGGGUGAGGAAUACGUGGGAAUCUGGCCCAGUCGUGGGGGAUAACGUAGGGAAACUUACGCUAAUACCGCAUGCGCCCUUCGGGGAAAGCCGGGGACCUUCGGGCCUGGCGCGAUUGGAUGAGCCCACGUCGGAUUAGCUAGUUGGCGGGUAAAGGCCCACCAAGGCGACGAUCCGUAGCUGGUCUGAGAGGAUGAUCAGCCACACUGGAACUGAGACACGGUCCAGACUCCUACGGGAGGCAGCAGUAGGGAAUAUUGGACAAUGGGCGCAAGCCUGAUCCAGCCAUGCCGC
rnacentral:rRNA from 1 species